rnacentral:rRNA from 1 species
GAAUCUUCCGCAAUGGACGAAAGUCUGACGGAGCAACGCGGCGUGAGUGAUGAAGGUUUUCGGAUCGUAAAACUCUGUUGUUAGGGAAGAACAAGUAGCGGAGUCACUGCCGGUACCUUGACGGUACCUGAAGAGAAAGCCACGGCUAACUACGUGCCAGCCGCCGCGGUAAUCCGUAGGUGGCAAGCGUUGUCCGGAUUUAUUGGGCGUAAAGCGAGCGCAGGCAGUCUUUUAAGUCUGAUGUGAAAUCUUACAGCUUAACUGAAAGCGGUCAUUGGAAACUGAGAGGCUUGAGUGCAGAAGAGGAGAGUGGAAUGCCAUGUGUAGCGGUGAGAUGCGUAGAGAUAUGGAGGAACACCAGUGGCGAAGGCGACUCUCUGGUCUGUAACUGACGCUGAGGCGCGAAAGCGUGGGGAUCAAACA